GUGUCAGCAGCCGCGGUAAUACGUAGGUGGCAAGCGUUAUCCGGAAUUAUUGGGCGUAAAGCGCGCGCAGGUGGUUUCUUAAGUCUGAUGUGAAAGCCCACGGCUCAACCGUGGAGGGUCAUUGGAAACUGGGAGACUUGAGUGCAGAAGAGGAAAGUGGAAUUCCAUGUGUAGCGGUGAAAUGCGUAGAGAUAUGGAGGAACACCAGUGGCGAAGGCGACUUUCUGGUCUGUGACUGACGCUGAGGCUCGAAAGCGUGG
rnacentral:rRNA from 1 species